UCGCAGCAGGCUUUGUCAAACGUCAGCCAUCUUUCAACAGUUUGCCGAGCAAAGUGCAAAACUGAUUGUUUGUGUGUCGUCGUUUUGCGCGCCCCAAAAAUGAAGGCAAAGGAAAACGUUGCCGGAUGAAUCACGGUGUAGAUUCCGGAACCAAUUCCGCUGGCCUUAUCGCAGGUGGUCAACAAGGUUUGAUUACAUCGUCGGUCGUCAUCCAGCCAAAUCCAGAGUUGAAGGGUUUAAUUGCAAGUAAGAGACUGCGGUUAAAAGUUGCCUACAAAACGAGCCAUGGCCACACUGAUCCAGCUGAACCAUGUAACCCGUUCCGUCUCUAGUGCUUUGUUCGAGCAAUUCAAGGCCACCAAUUCCUGCCAGUUUGUGUUUUCCUGGGACGGGAACAAAAGGACAGUGAACAGCGAAUAUUUUAAGUUAUUAGUGUUAAUAGUUCAGUGCAGGUGAUCAUGGUGAAGAAAACUUUCAAUUUAUUGUGAAAUAAAAAAAAAACAAACUAUGAA